UACGUAGGGUGCAAGCGUUAAUCGGAAUUACUGGGCGUAAAGCGUGCGUAGACGGUUACAUAAGUCGGGUGUGAAAGCCCCGGGCUCAACCUGGGAAUUGCAUUCGAGACUGCGUAGCUAGGGUGCGGAAGAGGGAAGCGGAAUUUCCGGUGUAGCGGUGAAAUUCGUAGAUAUCGGGAGGAACACCAGUGGCGAAGGCGGCGAUCUGGGAAGAUACUGACGCUGAGGUGCGAAAGCGUGGGGAGCAAACAGG
rnacentral:rRNA from 1 species